UGUUAAUCCGAAAAAUAUUAGAAAUGUAUUGGUUUUACGAAUACAUUUCCAGGCAGACGACAGUUUCAUUUUCUCAUGUGCUUUGCGCACUGGCUGCCAGGCAAGCUCGCUCAUUCUACCCACACUGCCACAUACACCGAACCCAAACCGGCUGUGCACAUGCGCCAUCGUGCAUACAUUUAUGCUGUCCCCUCACCCUGACUACACCGAUCGCUGCAAAAUAAAUGUAGAAAUCUAUGUUAUUCAAUAGCCCUUAUGCACAUUCCAUGAUUGAACGUUCUAAACACACAUCAUAUCCGUUUUGGCAAUUUCUGGUCAGUCUAGUUGUUAUCGACGAUAUAACGUUACUACCACUAUGUCGCAGUUUUUUACUAGGUGUCUUCAGGAUUUGCCUCAUUAAUAUUAAUGAUGUACAUCGAAUUGUUACAUCAGCCUCCGAGACUCCAGCUAGCAAGAAUGAAAAGGGGUUCAAUAUGUAUAUAGGAAGCUACAGACAACUAUGAAGCAUCUUCACGAGGUCCUUUGCUGUUGUUCUGGGAUUGAUUUGCACUGUUCGCACCAAAGUACGUUCAUCUCUAGGACAAAGAACGCGCCUUUCUCCUGAGCGGUCCGUACAGUGAUAUCCAACCAGAGGUGUGUCUUCUACGUGGAGGGGACCCGCUGCUCUAACCAUUUUAUCCCAAUGACACGACACUGCAUCUCUCGUAUCCGUCAUAGUAUGAUCUAUGAUCCAUCAUGGGUUGAUUUUAAAAUGUGCACGAGUACAAUAACUUACAUGGACUUAUGUAAGUUAUUAAUGCUCUUUGUGGCAAAACCUACAACAUAAGCUUGGAUGUUGCCAUGUUAACCAGCCAGCCUCGCUACUUCUUGGACAUUUGUGCCCUUCAAAUUCUUACAUGUGCUUGAACUGAAGAAGAUGCACCUGCAUUUUCACACUCCCUCUUAUUGUAAACGUGGCCUUAAAUCAAGUCUGGCAGCUUGUUGUAGCUGCAAUCAAGUUGUAGAAACAUCAAGGAUGAUCAAUGGAAAUGAUGCACCUGAGCUCAUUUUCGAGACUCAUAGCAAAGG